UUCCUGGUGGUCCAGUGGCUAAGACGCUGUGGUCCCGAUGCAAGGGACCCAGGUUCAAUCCCUGGUCAGGGAA
rnacentral:tRNA from 1 species